UACUUAUAUCUACCAAUCUGCUCUCCAACAGAAGUUGCUUAUUUGGGGAAAUGAAGUCUGUCUCCUCUCUGGACUGAUGCCCAGUCUGAAGGAAAAGUGCCAUUAAGGACAAGAGUCCUCCUGUCUGACGCCCAGAGCUUUGUGUCAUAUGACAGAAGACACAUGGCAUCAUUGCGUAAACUUCACCAUGGCAUCGCCCAGGAGUCUCCUUCUAGGAUAACAGAUGGAGAAUGUAAAGUCAUCUGCACCUGCUGGAAGCAUUAAUCUCCUGGAAGCUUUCAUGGGCUUGUACUGCUUAGUAAGAGCUGAGAUGCCUUCAUUCUGAUUUGGGUCAAGAUAACCACCUUCUUUAAGAGACAAGACAAAUUUCUCAGGAAACUUUAUGAAUCCCUGGAUAGCAAUGGGAAAUAACACUGAUUCCAGUUCACAAUUCUAAAUGUAUGUGAUAUCAAAUGAUGCCAAAAUUAUCAGGUACUGAUUCUGCUGCAUGGGUAUUUGUAGUUCAUUUUGCACUAUUCAUUUGCACAGUUCAUUUUGCUGUCCAGACCAAGCUAUCAUAUCUGCAAAUGUUUUUCAAAUGUGCAACUGUCAAAAGCAAUUUGGAGGGUAUCACCUGCAUA